rnacentral:rRNA from 1 species
AACGAACGCUGGCGGCAUGCCUAACACAUGCAAGUCGAACGAGACCUUCGGGUCUAGUGGCGCACGGGUGCGUAACGCGUGGGAACCUGCCCUUAGGUUCGGAAUAACUCCCCGAAAGGGGUGCUAAUACCGGAUAAUGUCUUCGGACCAAAGAUUUAUCGCCUUUGGAUGGGCCCGCGUUGGAUUAGCUAGUUGGUAGGGUAAAAGCCUACCAAGGCGACGAUCCAUAGCUGGUCUGAGAGGAUGAUCAGCCACACUGGGACUGAGACACGGCCCAGACUCCUACGGGAAGCAGUAGUGGGGAAUAUUGGACAAUGGGCGAAAGCCUGAUCCAGCAAUGCCGCGUGAGUGAUGAAGGCCUUAGGGUUGUAAAGCUCUUUUACCCGGGAUGAUAAUGACAGUACCGGGAGAAUAAGCUCCGGCUAACUCCGUG